ACAUCGACCUCUUCCUGUCAGACCAGCGCCCAGGAAGUACACCGUGAGUUUGGAGUCAAUCGAGGAAUGUGAGGAGGCUUUGGAGAUAGACCCCAGUGAAGAGGUGGUGGUGGCACGGAAGGCAAAGAGGCGAGUGAAUUUCUUCAAGCGCCUAUUUACUGCU